rnacentral:rRNA from 1 species
CCUACGGGGGGCAGCAGUGGGGAAUAUUGCACAAUGGGCGCAAGCCUGAUGCAGCCAUGCCGCGUGUGUGAAGAAGGCUUUCGGGUUGUAAAGCACUUUCAGCGGGGAGGAAGGCGUUAAGGUUAAUAACCUUGUCGAUUGACGUUACCCGCAGAAGAAGCACCGGCUAACUCCGUGCCAGCAGCCGCGGUAAUACGGAGGGUGCAAGCGUUAAUCGGAAUUACUGGGCGUAAAGCGCACGCAGGCGGUCUGUCAAGUCGGAUGUGAAAUCCCCGGGCCCAACCUGGGAACUGCAUUCGAAACUGGCAGGCUAGAGUCUUGUAGAGGGGGGUAGAAUUCCAGGUGUAGCGGUGAAAUGCGUAGAGAUCUGGAGGAAUACCGGUGGCGAAGGCGGCCCCCUGGACAAAGACUGACGCUCAGGUGCGAAAGCGUGGGGAGCAAACAGGAUUAGAUACCCGGGUAGUC